rnacentral:tRNA from 1 species
CCCCGCGCAGAUCGGCGCCGGCGAGGUCGGCGCCCCUCAGGCGGGCGCCCAUCAGGUCGGCGUUGCGGCGGUUCUUCUUCCGGCCGCGGGCGCC